CUCUGAGUAUGUAGUUCCUCUGUUUCCCUCGUCCUGUGUUGGAUCAUUCUUGACGGUGUUGACCCACGCCUGCUCCUGCGUCCUCUGCUCCACCAUGCACGUCAGAUCUCUGCCGUUGUCUGCAGGUGUUGGAACCAGACGGUACUCACUGCGUACCGUCACUGUACCAUCAGGCCCGUUAGUUGUGCUGGUUGAAUGGUUCCCUCCGACUGACGGCAACCAUUUGAUGGUGGCUGCUGGUUUGCCGUCUGCUGCCUCACACCGGGCCACCACCACGGACUUCGGGCCGGCUUGGACCGUCACAACUUUGGCCGAGUUCUUGGGCUUGGCUGAAGGGAAAGAAAGACAGAGACGUUAGAGAGUACAAAGAGAGUUAUGAGUUAAAGUCAAGCGGCAACCUCCAGCCUAAAGAAUUGAAGCCGAUGAGGAAGUGAUACAAACUGAAGUUCCUCAAGUGUCCACUUGAAGCUAGGCUCAAGAAGUUUUGAAAACUACAUACAUACCAAUUCAAAAAAGCAUGAGCAAAAAGCAAAUAAACAAAGUCUGAAUUGC